UCUCUCUCUGUCAAAAAUAAACAUUAAAAAAAAUUAAAUUCAUUUUCUAAUAGAUGUUUCUGGUAUCUAAGUACAAUUGAUUUUUGUAUAUUGUUCUUGACCUUUUCAAAUUCACUUAAUUGUUCUAACAAGUGGUUUGUAUGCUCUUUUAGAUUUUCUGCAUAUAUAAUUAUGUCACAUGCAGAUAAAGACAAUUUGAUUUCCUGCUUUCAUCUAUUUAUCUAUCUAAUAUAUAUCAAUUAGUUCCUCUAAGAUGACAAUGUAUAGAAUAGAUGAGGGCCUACACACACACACACACACACACUCACACUGUAUGAAUACUAUUUGCUUAUUGAAGAAGUUUUUUUCUAUUAUGAGUGGAAUGAAUAUUUUUUAAUUUUUUUCAAAUGUCAUUGAACAUGUUUUGAAGUCCACAGAGAAAAUUAUAUAGUUUUUUACUUAAUGCUUUUAAUUGGAAUGAUAGAUAUAUAUAUUUUUUAAUUAAUUUAUUUUGAGAGAAAGAGAGAGAAAGAGCAUGGAUGAGAGACAGAGAGAGGGAAAGAGAGAAUCCCAAGCAGGGCUCCACCCUAUGAACUGUGAGUUCAUGACCUGAGCCAAGACAAAGAGCUGGAAGUUCAACCAACUGAGCUACCCAGGCACCUCUGUAAUGAUAGAUUUUUGAAUGUUUUGCUGUAUCUGGAUUAGCAAGAGGCAAAAAAGGAAACCUGGACCUUCCUUCUCUGCACAGAAAUGCUGAUUCAACAACAUGGACCAAUUUCUUUUGUUAGAAAUCCAGAAACCUGUUGAAAGGCUCUUGCCACUGAGAUGAUAGGGACAAAAGCCAAAAUGAAUAAAAUGACACCUUACUCAUAAUCUCUUCCCUCUACUCCGUGCCACACAAUCAUGAGAAAAACCAGAACUCCCAACUUCUCCCUAAGAAGGGAAGGAGAGGACUGGACCAUAUGUCCAAAGUUCAGACUAUUUAGGGGGCUGCCCAAGGUACCAAUUACUGUACUGAGUAUGAGCACUGAUUGGAAAAGGGCCCAGGUCUGGGAACACUGAGAAUAUAGUCCGCGGUUUGAACUAGCACGCUCUACUAGCCAAAGUGCUUCCCCUGGUUCAGCACUGAGCAAGGGAGAACACCCAAAUCUUUCCUCCCUGGGAAGGGAAAGAGUCGAAGCAUGCAAGAGGGAAAGAGAAAAAUAAAACAUAUAUCUAACAUUCAGACUUUUCAGGGAGCUCCCCAAGGGACUGGUUUUUGUCUUGCCUGUCUCUAAGUACGGACAGGAUAUAGUACACUCUGGAUGCCUGGGGACCAGCAUAUGCUGCUUCUUCACAGGAACUACAAGAUAACAGACACCAGAGGGAGCAAGAUAUCAUAAACUCCUGAAAAAAUAAACCAACAAAUUCUUAUAAUUAUGAAUUUACAUGGACAAGUUUGGAGAAAAGACACAUCCACCAAAAACUUUUGAGAAGCCCACCAGAAUCUCUAGCUAGGGUAAUUGGUGAAGGUCUUCCCGUGUAUGAAGCCAGUCCAUAGAAACUAAGAAAAAGCGCUGUUUUUUCAAAUAUGCAGAUACCCACACUGUUGAGGGCAUUAAACACACACACACACAUACACAGGAAACAAAAGAAAACACCAAAAGAAAAAGGGGAUUCAUUACCUAAUAAAGAAUUCAAAUUAUGAUCAUAAAGAUAAUUAGUAAGUUCCGGAAAACAAUUUAUGAAUAAGUUAGAAAUUUCCAAAUAAAGAUAGAAAAAAAUACAGAAAUUUUGGAGCUGAAAACUAAAAUAGCCAGACUGAAUAAUUCACUAGAAAAGUGUAAUAAUAGACUUUAUCAACUAGAAGAGAGAGUCAGCAAACUUGAAGACAGGAAGAACAUUUGAAAUUAUCCUAUCACAGAAGCAAAAACAAAAAAAAGAAUGAAAAGGUGUGAAGAAAGCCUAAGGGACUUCUGUGUCUUCAUCAAAUAAAUCAAUACAUGCACUAUAGGAGUCCUAAGAGGGAAAGAGAGAGACAGAAAGGACAAGAGAGCUUAUUGAGAAAAAUAAUGACCAAUGCCUUUUCUCUAUUAAUAUGGUCGAUCAUGUGUUGUAUUUCUUUCAUUUUGUUAAUGUGUUGUAUAACAUCAAUUAAUUUGCAUACAUUGAAACAUCUUUGUUCGAAGGAGUAAGUUCCACUCAGACAUGGUGUAUAAUCCUUUUAAUGUGCUGAUGAAUUCAAUUUACUACCAUUUUAUUAAAGACUUUUUCAUUUAUAUUCA